rnacentral:rRNA from 1 species
CCCUUAGAUGUUCUGGGCCGCACGCGCGCUACACUGAUGCAUUCAACGAGUCUAAAACCUGCUCUGAUAGGGGUGGGUAAUCUUUUGAAACAUCGUCGUGCUGGGGAUAGAUCAUUGCAAUUUUUGAUCUUGAACGAGGAAUUCCUAGUAAGCGCGAGUCAUCAGCUCGCGUUGAUUACGUCCCUGCCCUUUGUACACACCGCCCGUCGCUACUACCGAUUGAAUGGUUUAGUGAGGACUCCUGAUUGGCGCCGCCGCCCCGGCAACGGAGCAGCGGACUGCCGAAAAGUUGUUCAAACUUGAUCAUUUAGAGGAAGUAAAAGUCGUAACA